rnacentral:misc_RNA from 1 species
CCGAGUUUUCAACUCCCAAACCCCUGUGAACUUAUACCUUUACCGUUGCUUCGGCGGGUUUUCGCCCCGGAACGCGGGCCCCCUUCGUAAAAAAGGGGGGGCCGGCCCCGGAACCAGGCGCCCGCCGGGGGACCCCAAAAACUCUUGUAUUUUUUACCUUUAGCAUGUCUGAGUGGAAUCAUACAAAAUGAAUCA